rnacentral:rRNA from 1 species
CCCGCUGAACUUAAGCAUAUCAAUAAGCGGAGGAAAAGAAACUAACAAGGAUUCCCCUAGUAACUGCGAGUGAAGCGGGAAGAGCUCAAAUUUGAAAUCUGGCGGCUUCCCCUUGCGAGAUGUGUUCUGGAGAAGCGUUUUCUCGUGCGUCGGCCGUGUACACGUCCCUUCGGACAGGGCGACAUCAUAGGAGGAGAAUCCCGUCUUUGACGCCGACUGCCAGCGCUCUGUGAUGCGCUCUCGAAGAGUCGAGUUGUUUGGGAGCGCAGCUCAAAAGGGGUGGUAAAUUCCAUCUACUGCUGAUUAUAGAGACGAGAGACCAAUAGCGAACAAGUACCGUGAAGGAAAGAUGCACAGCACUUAGGAAAGAGAGUGAAACAGUACGUGAAAUUGUUGAAAGGAAAACGCUUGAAGUCAGUCGCGUCUUCUGGAACUCCUCCGUCGCUUUUGCUAGGUGCAUUGCCCAGUUCGACGGGUCAGCUUCGGUUCCGGUGGGCAGACAAGACGCGCAGGGAAAGUGGCCGGCUACCGGUGGAGUUAUAUCCCUGCUUUCGUAUGUGCCCGCUGGGACCGAGCGAACCCGGCUCGCGCCUGGGAUGCUGGCGUAAUGGCUCUAAGCGACCCGUCUUGAAACACGG